GACGAACGCUGGCGGCGUGCCUAACACAUGCAAGUCGAACGGAGAUGUUGAUUUCGGUUGACGUCUUAGUGGCGAACGGGUGAGUAACGCGUGAACAACCUGACCUUAAGAGGGGGAUAACAACGAGAAAUCGUUGCUAAUACCGCAUAAGACCACAAUGCCGCAUGGCGAAGGGGUCAAAGGAGCAAUCCGCUUAAGGAGGGGUUCGCGUCCCAUUAGGUAGUAGGUGAGGUAACGGCCCACCUAGCCGACGAUGGGUAGCCGAGCUGAGAGGCUGAUCGGCCACACUGGAACUGAGACACGGUCCAGACUCCUACGGGAGGCAGCAGUGGGGAAUAUUGGGCAAUGGGCGCAAGCCUGACCCAGCAACGCCGCGUGAGGGAAGAAGGUUUUCGGAUUGUAAACCUCUGUCGCAGAUGACGAAACAAAUGACGGUAAUCUGUGAGGAAGCCCCGGCUAACUACGUGCCAGCCGCCGCAGUAACAC
rnacentral:rRNA from 1 species